CCUACGGGUGGCAGCAGUGGGGGAUAUUGCUCAAUGGGGGAAACCCUGAUGCAGCGACGCCGCGUGGGCGAAGAAGUAUUUCGGUAUGUAAAGCCCUAUCAGCCAGGAAGCAACAAUGACGGUACCUGAGUAAGCAGCACCGGCUAAAUACGUGCCAGCAGGCGCGGUCAUACGUAUGGUGCAAGCUUUAUCCGGAUUUACUGGGUGUAACGGGGGUGUAGCCGGGCUGACAAGGCAGAUGUGAAAUUCCGGGGCUCAACCCCGGACCUGCAUUUGAAACUGUUGGUCUUGAGUAGCGGAGAGGCAGGCGGAAUUCCUAGUGUAGCGGUGAAAUGCGUAGAUAUUAGGAGGAACACCAGUGGCGAAGGCGGCCUGCUGGACGACAACUGACGGUGAGGCGCGAAAGCGUGGGGAGCAAACAGGAUUAGAUACCCUUGUAGUC
rnacentral:rRNA from 1 species